UAACGGUUCAGAAUAUGGAACAGGAAGUUCUAAAAUACAAAAGUUUGUUACCUAGGUUACAGCAUAAUUACAAAAAACAAGAUGACCUUAUUGUCACGACUUUGAAAGCCUCUAUCUUUCUCUCAAACUUAAGCCUACCUUUUAGCUUUCUACAGGUUCCUUCUCACCAAUACACCAGCAGCCCAAGACAUAGCCCCAUUUCUAAGGGAAAUAGCUGGUGUUAUAUGUCAUAAAUUAUUCUUCUGCUUUAAAGGAAGAUUUUACUAAUAGACCACUGGAGUAUCGAUUGGAAGUCCAAUGGCCGGCCCACUAGCAGAAAUAUUAUUGAGGCAAGUAGAAUACCCAAUCCUGCAAAAAUUUGAACCAAACUUAAAACUUUGUGUGAGGUAUGUGGAUGAUAUUUUUACAUUAUGGAACAGCGACGCUAAGGUUAAUGAUUUUGAAGUUGCUUUCAUGAUCCCUGUUUAUGAACUUAGCCUUAAGAAAAUCCAGCAAGACCACAACACAGCUCACUUCCUGGACAUCAACAGGAAAUUAGAAAGGGAAACAUUAAAAACUGCAGUUUA
rnacentral:lncRNA from 1 species